GUGACAGGCUGCGAGAGAUUUGAACGAAUUUGCAUUGUGAUUUCGGAGAGAGGAGAGGAGAACGAGACCUUUCCGAAGAUGUCACUCAUUGCUGCAGCCAGUCCACAUCCAGAUUACUCAUCAGCAAGCCGACUGAAUUAUGAUUUUCAUGGAUAAAACAGCAGAAUCAUUGUAUUGAGACCAGAAAAAGCACUGGUAAAAAUUGCAAAAUCUUAUACAA